rnacentral:rRNA from 1 species
GAUGAACGCUGGCGGCGUGCCUAAUACAUGCAAGUCGAGCGAACGGACGAGAAGCUUGCUUCUCUGAUGUUAGCGGCGGACGGGUGAGUAACACGUGGAUAACCUACCUAUAAGACUGGGAUAACUUCGGGAAACCGGAGCUAAUACCGGAUAAUAUUUUGAACCGCAUGGUUCAAAAGUGAAAGACGGUCUUGCUGUCACUUAUAGAUGGAUCCGCGCUGCAUUAGCUAGUUGGUAAGGUAACGGCUUACCAAGGCAACGAUGCAUAGCCGACCUGAGAGGGGGGUCGGCCACACUGGAACUGAGACCCGGUCCAGCCUCCUACGGGAGGCAGCAGUGGGGAAUCUUCCGAAAUGGGCGAAAGCCUGACGGAGCAACGCCGCGUGAGUGAUGAAGGUCUUCGGAUCGUAAAACUCUUUUUUUAGGGAAGAACAAAUGUGUAAGUAACGGUGCCCAUCUUGACGGUACCUAAACAAAAAGCCACGGCAAACUCCGU